rnacentral:lncRNA from 1 species
UAGGACCUCUGAGAAUCACAAAACCUGAAAAAAUGCAGCUGGCCUCCUUACAGAAGUUGGUUUUCCACAUCUCUCCUCAGAACUUUGUUAGAUCUUUUGAAGCCAGGAGACAAAUAAGAGCAUAUUUUCUUCAGCAUAUGGGGUCACCCCGGACUCGAGUCCCAACCAGCUGUGUGGACCCCCCAGCCCUUCGUCUCCUGUGCUCACACCCUGCCGCGGCAGGAGGCUGCCGACCGGGGCCCCCCAUUGACGUUGCGGUGCCCCCCUGCCAGCCUGUGCUCCUCCACAACCUGAGCACCCCCUUCCACCCAGAGGGCCUUCUCCUCCCAGAGGGACUUUUUAUCCUCCCACAGGGCCUUCUCCUCCUCCAGAAGGGCUCUUUCCUCCUCCCACAGGGCCUUUUCUUCCCCCCACAGGGUCUUGUCCUCCUGAAGGAAGUUCUGGUCUCUUUCCCACAAGGCAUUGUCCUCCUUCCAGAAGGCCUUAUCUUCCUUCUAGAAGAUUCGGUACUUUUUCCAAAAGGCUUUCUCUUCUUCCCAGAAAGAUUUUUCCAUUUCCCAGAAGGCUUUUUCCUCUUUCCAGAAGGUUUUCUCGUCUUCCCAGAAAGGUCUCUCUCUUCCCAAAUGCCCAAGAUCUGGUCCCUGAAAUUGCAGAUCUUGCCACGGAAAUUCCACAUCUCUUCCCUGAAGCCUUCUAUUUUCUCACGGAAGUGUCUCAUCUCUUCCCGAAACACCUUUUCUUCCUGCAGCUUGUGGAUUGGUUUCUUCUGGCGAAUGUUGGAUGAGGAGACCACCAGUGAGUGGAGGCAGGCAAGCACCAUCCAUUUGCUCACCUUGAAGGGAAACAUUGUCUUGGUCAGCCAGGAUGGUGGGGUGACUGCGAUGGAGGACAGGGCUGCUGGCCAAGUCCAGCUCAGCUGGUCCAACCCUAUGGGGGCAUCAGAGAGAACAUGGCCCUUGAGUGUCACAUCCCAGAGGGCAAGCCCUGGCGUCUGUGCCAUUACUGGGAAUUA